GUAGCUAAAUUUUUUGUAUUUUUUGUAGAGAUGGGGUUUUGCCAUGUUGCCAGGCUGGUCUCGAACUCCUGCAAUUUGCUCUCCUUGGCCUCACGAAAUGCUGGGAUUACAGGCAUAAGCUACAGCACCCAGCCCUUACGUUUACUUUUCAUUGACAGGAAGAGUGUCUUCAUCUCUGCAUCCCUAGUGCAACAGAGCAUGACAAAAAUUCAACAAAUAUUUAUUGAAGAGUCUUGAUGUCUUUUGGGAAAGGAACUCUAUGGUUACCUUUACUCUAAGAUUAGAUGGGUGUUACUGAUUCUUACCUCAGAGAAGAGAAUGUCAUGGAGACAAAAUGACCUGCUUAGAGUUCUGCACCCCCCAGCAUGGAGAGCAGAGCGCAAAGAUUUCUUCCGGACUCCCACAUUCCCCUUGGAAUCCAAGAACUGGUCUACUGUCACAACACUUUAGUACCCUC
rnacentral:lncRNA from 10 species